CACGUAGGGUGCGAGCGUUGUCCGGAAUUAUUGGGCGUAAAGAGCUCGUAGGCGGUGUGUCGCGUCGGCCGUGAAAACCUGCAGCUUAACUGUGGGCUUGCGGUCGAUACGGGCAUCACUGGAGUUCGGCAGGGGAGACUGGAAUUCCUGGUGUAGCGGUGAAAUGCGCAGAUAUCAGGAGGAACACCGGUGGCGAAGGCGGGUCUCUGGGCCGAUACUGACGCUGAGGAGCGAAAGCAGUGGGGAGCGAACAGG
rnacentral:rRNA from 1 species